rfam:Calocera cornea HHB12733 unplaced genomic scaffold CALCOscaffold_1, whole genome shotgun sequence.
GCCCCCGUGGCCUAAUGGUUAAGGCGUCGGACUUCUAACUUAUUGACAUCCGAAGAUUGCGAGUUCGAAUCUCGCCGGGGGCU